ensembl:lncRNA
GUGGUGUAGACCAGGGCCGGUCAGGCUUGGAGGCAGCCGCCCCCAUGGCGAGUAUGAAAGGAAGGUCCUGGACCAAUCGUUAACAGGGCUGGGAGUAGUCCGGUCAGGCGUCCCCGAACAGGCCGUCAACCCAGCGAGGAGAAGGCCGCUCAGUUAAGAUGGAUGUCUCCAAAUUGACACGCGAAAGGCAGCCUGGGAAAAUGCAGAAGAGAGGCCAAUCUGACUUGCGGAAUCUUGCGUGAAUUUAUCAAGCUCGUAAUGCCCAGACAGACGCAUCUCGUAGAAUGAAGCUUCCAUGCUCCAAGUUUUGCAGAACUGCUCCACGGCUCAGCUUUAGGAAGAGCGAGGCCUCCUGGGCAGAAGGAGGGACAGAGAAGGCCAGUUUGGGGGCUGCCUGCUCGGAAGACUGGAGCAUGUACUAGAGCUGCAGGCUUUCCUAAAGGCUUCAUAGCAGAAGACGAAAACAGUGAGUCCGCCCCGUUCAGGAACCCGGGAGAUGGACGCCUCCUCCACAAGCUGGCAUUUCAGUCAUUGUUUGCGUUUAUUUCUCAGCUUAAUCUCCUCUUUCAUGGCCUCCCGUUUGUUUUUAAAAAUCUAAUCUUUCUGCUCUAGCCUCUAACGCUACCUUAAAGAGCACAGAGAAUUCUUGGUAGAAGGCCUCCUCCUGAAAACAGAGAUUUUAUCUCCAGCCUCUUCCAGGAGACCAGAAACUAUCACUUGUCUGGAAAUAAAAAUCUCUCAGCUUCCAAC